CUGAGAGCCAAAAGCCAGUCAGCAGGAGCACCUACACAUUUGAGAACAGACAGAAGACCUACUCUUCUGCUCCAAGCGACCCACCUGGUAGCCUUAGGACACACAAAGUCAGGAGUAGCUCUCUGUUCCCAGAUCUGGCUGAAAGAAAACAGGUCUACAGGAGUACUGACACACAGGCUAAAAGGAAGGUCAAGUCACUGUCAGAGACAGAAAGACAAGCUAACACCAGAGAAAACCUGAUGGCAAGAGACAAGCACAGGAACCUAAGCAACAGAAACCAAGACUAGUUGGCAUCAUCAGAAACCAGUUCUCCCACCAAAACAAGAUUUAGAUUCAAAAUCACAUCUCAGAAUGAUGAUAGAGGACUUUGAGAAGGACAUAACUUCCUUAAAGAAAUACGGGCCAACACGGUUGAACAAAUAGAAGCCCUUAAAGAGGAAACAGAAAAUCCCUUAAAGAAUUAUAGGAAAACACAACCAAACAGGUGAAGGAAUUGAACAUAACCAUCCAGGUUUCAAAAAUGGAAAUAGAAACAAAAAAGAAAGCACAAAGGGAGACAUCCCUGGAGAUAGAAAGCCUAGGAAAGAGAUGAGGAGUCACAGAUGCAAGCAUCACUAACAUAAUACAAGAGCUAGAAGAGAGAAUCUCAGGGGCAGAAGAUACUAUAGAAAACAGCAACAUAACCAUCAAAGAUAAUGUAAAA
rnacentral:lncRNA from 1 species